rnacentral:misc_RNA from 1 species
GUGGCUUCCAGCUAUCAUACAAAAAUCUUCAACAAAAUCACUUCCACUAUCAUCAUUGUCAUCCUUACUAUUAAGAGGAUUCCUCGAUGAAGAUGAUCUUGAGGAUGUGGUCCUCUUCCAGAUAAUCACCUUUGUUACAUGGUCUGCUUCACCAGACAUGUUCUCACCCACUCUUCUGCAGCAACCUGAGCCCAUAGAAGACAAAUAGGCGGACACCGAAGAUUUUCCUUUGGCCUCAGAAAACCCAACUCUGAUUUUGCUAGCUUCGAGCAUUCUUGAAAUCUCUUUUCCGGAU